UUCGUGCGGGUGUUAAAUGGUUUCUUAAACAAAAAAAACAAUAAGUGAGCAUAUUAACUUUGGCGAAACAAACUUGGUCCUGAUUUAUAAAUAUAGCGGUCAUUAAAGAAGACACAUGGUUUUUGUGGAAAUAGGCAAGGUUAGAUCUAUAUACUAUUUAUAAUGGAAGAUCUUAAUAGUAUGAGAUACUUAGGCAUUAUUUAACUAUAUAACGCCUUGAUAACCCUGCUAACACCAGUGCUGAAGAUUAGUUAAAAGCGUGAGCUUGUAUUAGUUUAGUGAAAAAAUUUGGUUAAUUUGGUGCCAGCAUCCGCGGUUAUACCAAGAAAUUAAGUUAUAUCUAUAUACAGUAAAAAGAUAGUUAUGCUUAAAGAAAAGUCAAUUGAUAAUAAUAAUAUAGGGGUGAAAUCUGAAUAUAUGUUUAAUUUUAAGUAUGACUUGUAGGAGCUGAAGCUAUGAAAUUCUAAUAGAAAACUGGGAUUGGAUACCCCACUAUUCAUGAGUAUAAAUUGAUUUUUGUUUACUAGAGUACUACGAACUUAUAAAUUUAAAACUCAAAGGACUUGGCGGUGUCUUAGACCACUUAGGGGAACCUGUCUCUUAAUCGAUAAUCCACGUUAAACCUAACCUUUUCUUGUACAGUUUGUAUACCGUCGUCGUCAGGUAACUUCUUAAAAAAUAUAAGUUAGCAAAUAAGUUUAAUAUAACCUACUACGUCAGAUCAAGGUGCAGCCAAUGAAAAGGGGAGGAUGGGUUACAAUUAUUUAUUUAUAAUACGAAAUACCCUCAGAAUAAUGGGUCUGAAGGAGGACUUAAAAGUAAAGACAUUAACUAUAAAAACUACUUGAAUAAGGCUCUGAGACGUGCACACAUCGCCCGUCGCUCUCGCUGAAAAAUGAGAUAAGUCGUAACAUAGUAGGGGUAAUGGAAAUUGCUCCUAGUUG
rnacentral:rRNA from 1 species